rnacentral:rRNA from 1 species
GACGAACGCUGGCGGCGUGCCUAACACAUGCAAGUCGAACGGGACUUGCCCCUUCGGGGACAAGUUUAGUGGCGAACGGGUGAGUAACGCGUGAGGAACCUGCCUUUCAGUGGGGGACAACAGUUGGAAACGACUGCUAAUACCGCAUAAGCCCACAGGUCGGCAUCGACCAGAGGGAAAAGGAGCAAUCCGCUUUGAGAUGGCCUCGCGUCCGAUUAGCUAGUUGGUGAGGUAACGGCCCACCAAGCCGACGAUCAGUAGCCGACCUGAGAGGGUGACCGGCCACAUUGGGACUGAGACACGGCCCAG